GACGAACCGUGCGAACGUUGUUCGGAAUCACUGGGCUUAAAGGGCGCGUAGGCGGGCGACCAAGUCAGGGGUGAAAUCCCACGGCUCAACCGUGGAAGUGCCUUUGAUACUGGUUGUCUCGAGGGAGGUAGGGGCGUGCGGAACUUCCGGUGGAGCGGUGAAAUGCGUAGAUAUCGGAAGGAACGCCGGUGGCGAAAGCGGCGCGCUGGACCUCUUCUGACGCUGAGGCGCGAAAGCUAGGGGAGCAAACGGG
rnacentral:rRNA from 1 species